AUUCAGCAGUUCAAAUGUGAAUCGAUUCAGUAACAUCGAUGUUAUAGACAAUUUUGCCCAACGCUAGUACUUGCUCAUGCUUAAGCCAAUUUUAGUAUAGUAAAGUCUUUGAGCAUUUACUCAAAACCAUAUGAAUAAAACGAUACUUUACUCAGAGUAAGUUCGAAUUUCGAACUGAGCAUUUACUCUGUCAAAUAUGUUGUUUUUGUUUUGGCUAUCUGAUUUUUGCGAAACAGAAGAAAGCCAACGAUGCAAGCAGUAGUGUCAUUGCGGAUCUCAUCCGGCUUUUGCCGUAAAAAAUAGUUCGACCAGUGCCGUUUGUUGUCAACUGACGAAGGAGCCACGCCACACAUCACGUAACCGGUAACUGGUCCGUCGUCUUCAACGCUCUCAUCGGUGUGUAGUCGCCUACCGAGCCAGCAGGUGACCGUGUCCCCCAGCAGAAUCGAUGACCAAUGUGUGGGACAAAAUUUAGAUUCUCGCUCCAGUCCACUUUUUGGAUUGCAUUUAGGCUAAUGACCAUAUUAGAGCAUGUGCGAUUACCAUAUAAGACCAGAAGACCAGCAACAGUACCAGCAGAAUUAGAAUCGGCAGCAAGAAGCUCAGCAUCAGCUGCGCAAGGAACUUUGAUUCCGUUUGGCACCGAUCACAGCCGUUUCCGUCUUUUCCUCGGUGUUAGCAAUAACGAUCGAAAGAAAAAUUGACCCGCAGACAUGAUUGGAUUCACGAUGCCAUCGGAUUGGCAAAUAAGUGGACAAGAAGCCAAAUGGAGAGACUGACCGCAUUCCAAGGUAGUCGAUAUUCUCAUCGGGAUGUAUUGGCGUAAGAGUAGGAUCAAAGCUUAAGGGGAUGCGGGAAGAUUUCCAUGAGAAUUUCUUGACAAAAUUGAAAAUCCAAAACAAUUUUUAAUAAAUGUAUCGAAUAACUUUAGGCAAAACUUCUAAGGAAAUUAUACUCAAAGCAAAAUCCCACCGACUAUUUCUACAAACAAAUUCAACCUAAUUAAAUUUAACAAUAAUUUUCCGCUUCUUUAACUUUUUAAGCAAUACAUCGAACAUUCAUUAAAAAACCCAAAAAAAACUAUCACAAAUUGCUCCUGAAAUUAAAUGAAGUUUUAGAUAAAUUUUGUGAAAAAAACUACAAAUUUCACCGAAAGCCGUUUUGGCAAGACUUAUGCAGUAAUACAAACCAACACUUCAUCGGACUACGAUACCAAUUUAUCAAAAA